rnacentral:lncRNA from 1 species
AGUAAACCGGUAUUCCUGUCCUGAAGAUGUCAGCACCAACAGGUUAUGGGCCCAGGAGGGAACAUGGAAGCCGAUGGAAUAGAUUAUAUUUCGACGGAGAUGAAAAAAAGUACGAGUUAUGGGAGACAAAGUUUUUGGGGCACUUGCGUUUGCUUGGGCUAAAGGCCGCCAUAUUGAGCGUGGAUGAAGAUGAAGAAGACAGAGAGAAAAAUGAAGAAGCCUACGCCGAAUUGAUACAGGUUUUGGAUGAUAAAAGCCUUUCCCUGAUAAUGAGAGAAGCAGCAGAUGAUGGGAGAAAAGCGUUGAAGAUAUUGAGGGAACAUUAUGCAGGUAAAGGGAAGCCACGUGUGAUUAGCCUCUACACUGAACUAACUUCUCUUCAGAAAGCCGCUGACGAAAGUGUUACGGACUAUAUCAUUCGUGCUGAGACGGCUAUUACAGCACUGAGAAAUGCUGAAGAGACUUUAAGUGACGGGCUGUUGAUUGCAAUGAUUCUGAAAGGUUUGCCCGAAUCAUUUAAGCCGUUUGCCAUCCACAUAACGCAGAGUGACGAGCCGACAACUUUUGGCGAGUUCAAAACCAAGUUGAGGAGCUAUGAAAGCACCGAGAAGUUUAGCGCCAUUUCCACUGACGACAACGUGAUGAAGGCAAGUAACAUUAAAGUUAGCUGGCCAAGAGGGAGAGAUAAAGGGACCGAGAUAACCUGCUUCAACUGUGGCCAGAAAGGGCACAAGGCCCGGGAAUGUACUGUUACUGGAGAGCGCAAAGAACGGAGAAAGUGGUGUAGUUUUUGCAAGAGCUCCACUCAUACUGACGCAAAUUGCAGACGAAAAAGAAGAGACAAUGUGAAACAAGCAACAGAUGCUGAAAGCCACACAUUUGCAUUCAGAAUAAGUGACUGUCAGGUUAGUGGACUGAAACAGAAAGGGCUGAUGGUUGAUACGGGAGCAACGUCACAUAUAGUCACGGACAUCGGGAAGUUUAAGGAGUUUGACGAGACUUUCAAACCGGAAAAACAUUCCGUGGAGCUGGCUGACGGAACAAGAACGAAUGGUGUCGCGGAGAGGAGAGGUGCAGCGGAGGUUUACCUGAGAGACAACACGGGUCGUCGGGUAAAAACAACGCUGAUGAAGGCGCUGUACGUGCCGUCGUUUCCACAGGACAUUUUCUCUGUUAAAGCAGCGACAGCCAACGGAGCUUCAGUCAACUUUCGACAGGGGUGUAACAAGCUCAUCCACAAGAACGGUACCACUUUUGACAUCGAGGAGUACGAUAGACUUUACUAUCUUAACACUGUAAGUGAUGAAUAUGAUGAUGGAUGUCAUGGGUGCUAUGAUAUUCACACAUGGCACAAAAUUCUUGGACACUGUAAUUUUGAGGAUGUGUCAAAGUUAGAAAAUGUGACAGAGGGAAUGAAAAUCACAGGUAAAAUUGACAAAUCUACCCUCAACUGUGAAAUCUGCACUCAGGGAAAAUUUGUUCAGAGCAGAAACAGAGAGCCUGAUGAAAAAGCAAAAGCGGCUCUUGAGCUUGUGCACACUGAUUUGGCUGGCCCUAUUGAGCCAGAGGCGAAAGAUGGGUUCAGAUAUACUCUAGCAUUUACGGAUGAUUAUUCAGGGGCAGUUUUUGUGUAUUUCCUAAAAGCAAAGAGUGAUACUGUAAAAGCUACUGAGAAGUUUAUUGCUGAUGUGGCCCCUUAUGGGAAAAUAAAGUGUGUCAGGUCAGAUAAUGGCACAGAAUUCACAGCCAAAGAGUUCCAGUCACUGCUCAGUAAGAACGCCAUAAGACAUGAAACUUCAGCCCCUUACUCACCCCAUCAAAAUGGGACGGCUGAGAGAAAUUGGAGAACAUUGUUCGAAAUGGCAAGAUGCAUGCUACUUGAAAGCAACCUACCAAAGAACUUGUGGACAUAUGCUGUAAUGACUGCUGCAGUAAUUCGCAAUAGGUGUUACAAUAAGCGUGUAGGACAGACUCCACACUACAUGUUUACUGGGAGAAAGCCUGAUCUUUCAAAGAUGAAAGAAUUUGGAUCUGUUUGCUAUGCAUAUAGACAGAACAAGAAAAAGUUAGACUCAAGAUGUGAAAAGGGUAUUUUUGUCGGGUAUGAUAAAAAUAGUCCAGCAUACCUAGUCUACUACCCAGACACUGGGAAAGUUCUUAAAAACAGAUUAGUCAAGUGUGUUACAAAAGGUGUAGUCGAACACCAAACUCAGACAGAUUUGGAAAUCAGUGAUGAUCUUCAUGGGGAGAGAUUUGAAAACCCCAUGCCGAAAGCCAAGAUGGCAGAUCAAAACUCAGAAGAGACACAAGAUGUGCAAAUUGAGACAUCAGAUGGUCAGAGUCCACGCUAUCCAGACAGAGCGAGGAAGAAACCCCAGUACUUAAAAGACUAUGAGUGUAAAGUGAAAUGUGAUGACCAGAUACCACCUAGUGUUGACUACUGCUACAGAGUAAUGUGCAAUGCACCACAAACCUUCAAAGAAGCAAUGAUUUCACCAAAAUCAGAGAUUUGGGCUACUGCUAUGAAGGAGGAGAUGGAUUCCCUUAGGGAAAAUGAUACAUUCACAUUAACCACACUGCCAGAGGGUAAAAAUGCAGUGGGGGGCAGGUGGGUCUAUGCGGUCAAAAACAAUUCAGAUGAGACUGAGACAUACAAGGCAAGAUAUGUUGCAAAGGGGUAUAGUCAAGUGGCAGGAAUAGACUAUAAGGAGACUUUUUCUCCAACUGCAAAUAUGACAUCAGUACGCUGUUUGAUGCAGCUAGCAGCUCAGUAUGACUUAGAGUUACAUCAGAUGGAUGUCAAAACAGCAUAUCUACAUGCUCCUAUUGACUGUGAAGUGUACAUGGAGCAACCAGAGGGUUUUGAAGUCAGGUCAGAUACAGGUGAGCAACUAGUCUGCAAACUGAACAAGUCACUGUACGGCCUGAAACAGUCAGGAAGGAACUGGAACAAAAUGUUGCAUGAUCACCUUAGUGAAAAUGGUUUUACACAGAACCCAGCUGAUCACUGUGUUUAUAACAAACAAACUGCAACAGAAAGGAUCAUUUUGAUAAUUUGGGUCGAUGAUCUAAUUAUCGCUGCUAGUGAUAGUGACUCACUCACAAGUGUAAAAGAAAUGUUACGUGAAAAAUUUAAGAUGAAAGAUCUUGGGAGGCUUGGACAUUUCCUAGGCAUUGAUUUUACACAAAGUGAAGGGAAAAUAACGAUGAACCAAACAAGGUAUAUAACCAAGAUACUGGAAAGGUUUGGUAUGUCAGACUGUAAAACAAGGUCAACACCAUGUGAACAAAAACCAAACUUUGAUGGUGAUGGUGAACUUAUUGAUUCAAAAAGGUAUCGUGAAGUGAUAGGCAGCUUGAUAUAUGUAAUGACAUGUACAAGACCGGAUAUCAGUUGGAUUGUCAGCAAGCUGUCACAAUACCUAUCAGAACCAAAAGAGCAACACUGGAUAACAGCUAAACAUGUGUUGAGGUACUUGAAGGGAACAAUGAAUCAGGAGUUGUGUUACAAAAAGGGGGUGGAAAAACUCAACCUUGUAGCAUAUAGUGAUGCUGAUUGGGCAGCAGAUCAAAGUGACAGACGAAGCAUAACAGGGUAUUGUUUUAGUUUAACUAAAUGUGGACCUGUCAUUUCAUGGAGGUCUAAGAAGCAGCCAACAGUAGCUUUAUCUACAUGUGAAGCAGAGUACAUGGCACUGGCUGCUACUACACAAGAAAGUUUGUACCUUGUACAGUUAUUGGGCGAGAUGGAUAGUGAGUGUCAAUAUACACCAGUAACAAUCUUUGAAGAUAACCAAGGUGCAAUUGCUCUGUCAAAGAACCCAGUAUGUCGUCAGAGAUGUAAACAUGUCGACAUCAGAUAUCAUUUCAUUCGAUCUGCACUCAGUGAUGGUAAAAUAAGUAUUGAAUAUUGUCCAACGGCAGACAUGGCUGCAGAUGUUUUGACUAAACCUGUAACGAAGUUCAAAAAUGAAAAAUUCUUGGGUUACAUGUUUGGAAUAUAAACUGACAUUUGUGAGAUGAAUAACUGUAAGCUAAAUGUGUUGAUAAAGUUAGGUUGAAUACGACUUGUACAGUAUAAGAGCAAGUGGGGGUGUUGGCAUGUGGACUAAUAUGUUGUUGAGUUGUGUUCUUACACUGGUACAGUCAUGCCAUAUAUGAGAGAUGUAUGACUGCGCAUGUGCAAAAAUAAAUAAAGCGCAUUUUUCCCCCGUUCUGGUUAAGACACCAAUGAUGAACAUGUGUGUUUAUUCCUCCGUUAAGUAAACCGGUAUUCCUGUCCUGAAGAUGUCAGCACCAACAAUAUUAAUGCACAACACAAACUAUAUGAAUAACGUUACAAGAUAACACAAUGAAAAUACUCAUGCCAUGGAAAAGUGAUGUACCGUUUAUGUGCUGUAUUUAUGUAGCUUUUCAGGUGUCGACUAGAGUAAUUCACAUAAUCGGUCAAAAGCAAAUGUUAGCUAGUUAACUACUGCCAGUGGUUCUGAAAACAUUGCUUUUAGUCAGCCAACUGUACCAUAUGGUGACCACAGACAAGUAUAUUUACCUUGUGUCAAAAUUAAUCCUCCAGCUUCUGUUCCUUGCAACACUUCCCACAACAUACUGUAUUUACAGGCUUAACAGCUUGCUAACGUUAUAGCAAGGAUGUUGGUUACCACGUGUGAUACCUCUUCAUCUGCCUUCUUCAAACAUUGAUGUUCCUCUACAAAUCUGACAAUUAUCAUGACUAGCUUUUGUCAGCUGGAUAUUCAUCUCGGUUAACCCAACUAAAGUCUUGCGUUUACGAAAGAUUACCUGGACAUUAGAUGGAACAUGGAAGUUUGCGUUUAGGAGAAUAAUUAAGUUGUGCGAGUGCAUUAAAUGUACAUUUCAACACAAGUCAAUCAGCUCGGGUCGGGAAAAACUCCAUACCCCAGAAAGCAUCUGGUUAUUAGCCUGACGCCAUUCUUUUUUUCCCAUGACAUUAUCAAUGUAGCAAAUGGAAUUAAAUUCUUUAUGAAGUGAUUGAUUGAUACAAGUAGAGUCUCCCGGUCAAUGACCUAUAUAAAUACAAUUUCAUGGAUCAGGAGAGCAGUGAGCAUUCUGUUAUGCAGGUAGAAUUACCAGCAGUUCAAUGAAGAGAUGUUGCAGUUCCGUGAACCCCAUUCCUGUCUUGUGGAACUUUGGCACGAACGCAGAGCUGGUUGACUGUUUGGAAAGCUGUGGCUAGUGAUCAAUCGUUCAUAAACAAACUACUCAGUGUUUCGGCACGGCUGUGCUGUGACUGGGUCAGAGAUGGUAGGAGAUAAUGAUGGAGAAGCAAGUAUGGAGCAUAGUGGUACAAAUAAAGGAGGGAGUAGGGGUUUGAAGGGGAGUGAGAGGUCUAUGGAGGCAGAAAAUGAAGUUUGAGGAGAGCAACAUAGUUUCUAACACUAGCGCUAUCCAGGCUGUAUCACAUCCGGCCGUGAUUGGGAGUCCCAUAGGGCGGCGCACAAUUGGCCCAGCGUCGUCCAGGUUUGGCCGGGGAAGACCGUCGUUGUAAAUAAGAAUUUGUUCUUAACUGACUUGCCUUGUUAAAUAAAAAAAAAUAGAGGCAGUUCGGAGGUAGAAAGUGCCGAUAAAGUGCAAGACGCGCUGGGAGCAUAAAUUAUUCUGAAGUUUAGGAAGGAAAGGGGAGUUGGGGCGAUGAGUCCGAUAAGGUUAACGGCUGUGAUAAAAUAGUUGAUCGGGGGAAGUUGUCAAUGCUAAAUUGUUAAGAGAUGGGAACUUCUUGGUGUUCUGUAAGGACAUGGCGCAAAGGGAAAAAGCUCUCAGAGUGAAGGUGGUGUCGAGCAGCUGAACUGAUCAAGCAGGGAAGCAGUGGAUUAAAGGGGUGAUAACAGGAGUUCCUGUGAGUGUUAACACUAAAGAGGUAAG